rnacentral:lncRNA from 1 species
CAUUACGUCAUAUCGACGUCUUUUUUAGGUGAUUUUAAAUACGUAAGAUUAAUGACGUUAAAAUACGUUUAAAAGACGUUUUUAUUUCAGCCAGCCUAAGUCUGACGUCACGAAAUUGGGAGGAGCUUGGAGCUUAAAAGUUACAAAACUAAGGUUAUGUUUGUAUCGUUGUCGUUUGUUUGUCCUAGUAUUUUGCCCAUUUGGAUUUUUGUUGGCUGUUUUGUGUGUGUUUUUUAAAACUUUUGUUUGUCAUUUGUAAAUUUUAUAAAUUUACCACAAUGCAAAGUGAUUAUUUAAGGAAAUUAUUAUUGGAAACUACGCAGAUGUUUUAGAAAGAUAUUCAUUGAAGCUGAAAAUAAUUGGAGAUUUAGAUCCAUAUACAAUUCAGUCAUCAGAAUUGGAUUUUACAGUGCAUUCCAUCAAUUACUGUUAGAUAGACAAUGCUAUUAUAGAUAGACUGGUAGAGUCUCACAGUUACUACUUUAAGCAGCAGAUGAAAGCAUACAAAGCCUUCAGGCUCAUAAAAGCCUUCACAACUGGAUUUGUUUUGAAACAUUUGAUGUUUUGAUAUGACUUCUAUAUUAUUGUUGGAAAGGUAAGUCUUUAUUUUAUUUAUUCACCAUCAAAAAUAUAUAGAUAACAGUAUUAGUGUCUUUCGGAUAAAUGGGUUUUAAAUAUUAGAUUUAUUUACGUUUAUAUAUCUGUAUGAAACCAGACAUA